UACGUAGGGUGCAAGCGUUGUCCGGAAUUAUUGGGCGUAAAGAGCUUGUAGGCGGUUUGUCGCGUCGACUGUGAAAACCUGCGGCUCAACCGUGUGGUCUGCAGUCGAUACGGGCAGGCUAGAGUUCGGUAGGGGAGACUGGAAUUCCUGGUGUAGCGGUGAAAUGCGCAGAUAUCAGGAGGAACACCGGUGGCGAAGGCGGGUCUCUGGGCCGAUACUGACGCUGAGGAGCGAAAGCGUGGGGAGCGAACAGG
rnacentral:rRNA from 1 species